rnacentral:lncRNA from 1 species
UGAUGGCGUCGAUGGGAACUCCUUCCGGGUCGUCCCAACGCGGGUCCAUAAUGGGGCACUGAUCGGCCGGGGCGCAGAAACGCGAGUUGGGGUGGGCGCACGGCUCGGGGUCACCGUGCUUCCACGGCUUGCCCAGCCAGGAGGUGUAGGUGACCCCGGGCUCCGUGGGUUCAUCCAGGCCGUCCCAGUAGACGCCGCCAUCGCUUCGCAGCCCCACGUUGGUGAAGAUGGUGUUGCGGGCGAUGGUGGCCAUGGCGUUGGGGUUGGUGCGCGACGACGUCCCCGGGGCCACCCCAAAAAAGCCACACUCGGGGUUGAUGGCGCGGAGGCGGCCCUCAUCAUCGAACUUCAUCCACGCAAUGUCGUCCCCGACGCAGUGGAUCCGCCAACCCGGCAGGCUGGGGGUCAUCAUGGCCAGGUUGGUUUUCCC